rnacentral:rRNA from 1 species
UACCAGCUCUUCGAGUGGUGUGGAUGUUUAUUGGGCCUAAAGCAUCCGUAGCUGGCUGGGCAAGUCCCCUGUUAAAUCCACCGAUUUAAUCGUUGGAGUGCGGGGGAUACUGUUCGGCUAGGGGACGGGAGAGGCAGACGGUAUUUUCGGGGUAGGGGUGAAAUCCUAUAACCCCGGGAAGACCACCAGUGGCGAAGGCUGUCUGCUAGAACGCGCCCGACGGUGAGGGAUGAAAGCUGGGGGAGCGAACCGGAUUAGAUACCCGGGUAGUCCCAGCUGUAAACGAUGCAGGCUAGGUGUUUGGGCGGCCACGUGCCGCUCUAGUGCCGCAGGGAAGCCGUUAAGCCUGCCGCCUGGGGAGUACGGCCGCAAGGCUGAACUUAAAGGAAUUGGCGGGGGAGCACCACAAGGGGUGAAGCUUGCGGUUU